rnacentral:rRNA from 1 species
UACGUAGGGUGCGAGCGUUAAUCGGAAUUACUGGGCGUAAAGCGUGCGCAGGCGGUUCGUUGUGUCGGCGGUGAAAGCCCCGGGCUUAACCUGGGAAUGGCCGUUGAAACUGGCGAACUGGAGUGUGGCAGAGGGGGGUGGAAUUCCGCGUGUAGCAGUGAAAUGCGUAGAGAUGCGGAGGAACACCGAUGGCGAAGGCAGCCCCCUGGGCUAACACUGACGCUCAGGCACGAAAGCGCGGGGAGCAAACAGG